rnacentral:rRNA from 1 species
GACGAACGCUGGCGGCGUGCUUAACACAUGCAAGUCGAACGGAAAGGCCCUGCUUUUGUGGGUUGCUCGAUUGGCGAACGGGUGAGUAACACGUGAGUAACCUGCCCUUGACUUUGGGAUAACUUCAGGAAACUGGGGCUAAUACCGGAUAGGAGCUCCUGCUGCAUGGUGGGGGUUGGAAAGUUUCGGCGGUUGGGGAUGGACUCGCGGCUUACCAGCUUGUUGGUGGGGUAGUGGCUUACCAAGGCUUUGACGGGUAGCCGGCCUGAGAGGGUGACCGGCCACAUUGGGACUGAGAUACGGCCCAGACUCCUACGGGAGGCAGCAGUGGGGAAUAUUGCACAAUGGGCGGAAGCCUGAUGCAGCAACGCCGCGUGCGGGAUGACGGCCUUCGGGUUGUAAACCGCUUUCGCCUGUGACGAAGCGUGAGUGACGGUAAUGGGUAAAGAAGCACCGGCUAACUACGUG